GCCAGCCCGCUCAGAAACUACAAAGGAAUUGACGGGGCCCGCACAAGCGGAGGAACAUGUGGUUUAAUUCGAUGAUACGCGGGGAACCUUACCCGGGCUUGAAAUGCAUCUGGCGUCCCGAGAGAUCGGGAUUCCCACGGGACAGAUGCGUAGGUGCUGCAUGGUUGUCGUCAGCUCGUGCCGUGAGGUGUCGGCUUAAGUGCCAUAACGAGCGCAACCCCUACCGUUAGUUGCCAUCAGGUCAAGCUGGGGACUCUAACGGGACUGCCAUCGUAAGGUGCGAGGAAGGUGGGGAUGACGUCAAAUCAGCACGGCCCUUACGUCCGGGGCGACACACGUGUUACAAUGGGUGGUACAAAGGGCAGCUACAUGGCGACAUGGUGCCAAUCUCCAAAACCACUCUCAGUUCGGAUCGGAGUCUGCAACUCGACUCCGUGAAGCUGGAUUCGCUAGUAAUCGCGCAUCAGCCACGGCGCGGUGAAUACGUUCCCGGGCCUU
rnacentral:rRNA from 1 species